rnacentral:rRNA from 1 species
GACGAACGCUGGCGGCGUGCUUAACACAUGCAAGUCGAACGGAAAGGCCCUGCUUGCAGGGUACUCGAGUGGCGAACGGGUGAGUAACACGUGGGUGAUCUGCCCUGCACUUCGGGAUAAGCCUGGGAAACUGGGUCUAAUACCGGAUAGGAGCCAUUCUUAGUGUGAUGGUUGGAAAGUUUUUUCGGUGUAGGAUGAGCUCGCGGCCUAUCAGCUUGUUGGUGGGGUAAUGGCCUACCAAGGCGGCCACGGGUAGCCGGCCUGAGAGGGUGGACGGCCACAAUGGGACUGAGAUACGGGCCAGACUCCUACGGGAGGCAGCAGGGGGGAAUAUUGCACAAUGGGCGCAAGCCUGAUGCAACGACGCCGCGGUGGGGAUGACGGCCUUCGGGGUGUAAACUCCUUUCGCUAGGGACGAAGCUUUUUGUGACGGUACCUAGAUAAGAAGCACCGGCUAACUACGUG